rnacentral:rRNA from 1 species
CAACGCUGGCGGCGUGCCUCAGACAUGCAAGUCGAACGCGAAAGUCCCCUUCGGGGGGCAAGUAGAGUGGCGCACGGGUGAGUAACACGUAGGUAAUCUACCUUUGGAUGGGGAAUAACAACCGGAAACGGUUGCUAAUACCGCAUAAUGCAGCGGCACCUAAUGGUGACAGUUGUUAAAGCGGGGGAUCGAAAGACCUCGCGUCUAAAGAGGAGCCUGCGGCGGAUUAGCUAGUUGGUAAGGUAACGGCUUACCAAGGCUACGAUCCGUAGCCGGCCUGAGAGGGCGGUCGGCCACACUGACACUGACAUACGGGUCAGACUCCUACGGGAGGCAGCAGUCGGGAAUUUUGGGCAAUGGGCGAAAGCCUGACCCAGCAACGCCGCGUGAAGGAUGAAAUCCCUCGGGAUGUAAACUUCGCAAGAACGGGAAGAAUAAGUAGGGGACAAUACCCCCUAUGAUGACGGUACCGUUUGUAAGCUCCGGCUAACUCCGUGCCAGCAGCCGCGGUAAUACGGGGGGAGCAAGCGUUGUUCGGAUUUACUGGGCGUAAAGGGCGCGUAGGCGGCCAGCACAAGUCAGUUGUGAAAUCUCCGAGCUUAACUCGGAAAGGUCAACUGAUACUGUGCGGCUAGAGUGCAGAAGGGGCAACUGGAAUUCUUGGUGUAGCGGUGAAAUGCGUAGAUAUCAAGAGGAACACCUGCGGCGAAGGCGGGUCGCUGGGCUGACACUGAC